rnacentral:RNase_P_RNA from 1 species
UUUGACAGACAAUCGCCGGCGGUUAUGCCGCGGGAGGAAAGUCCGGGCUCCAUAGGGCAGGAUGCUGGAUAACGUCCAGUCAGCGCGAGUUGAAGGAUAGUGCCACAGAAAUGGACCGCCGAUGGCUCGUCCCUCCGGGACGGGAUCAGGCAAGGGUGGAACCGUGGUGUAAGAGACCACGAGGGGCUAUGGUGACAUAGCGCCUGGUAAACCCCAUCUGGAGCAAGACCUAAUGGGACGCAGGGAAGCAGUCAACUGCACCCAAGCCUUAGCCCGAGGCGCGUCCGGGUUGGUCGCUGGAGCCGUUCAGCAAUGGACGGCGUAGAUAGAUGAUUGUCGCUUCAAAGGCGGGAGGGGAAACCCGUUAUCACCGCCAGAAGUACAAAACCCGGCUUACGG